rnacentral:rRNA from 1 species
AUGGAUCGGCACGGGCAGCACCACCGGCUGGUGACGAUGCCGCGGGAGGGGGAGGCGGCUUCCUCCUACGCGGGAGGGGGCGUGGACGUGGUGGCGCGGGAGGCGGCGGCGCAGGCGCUGGGGGCGGUGGUGCAGCUGCACUUCGACAAGACGGUGGAGAAGAAGCGCAGCGCCGACGCGCAGAAGCAGGAGCUCUGGCGCCUCUUCCUCGCCUUCUUCCUCUUCCUCGCGCUCGUCCUCUCCGCCGUCUCCGGCGGGGGCCGCCUCCAGUGCCGCCACCUCUGGGCCCCCGCGGGCCUCCUCUCCCUCGCCCACCUCGCCUUCUACGCCGCCGUCGCGCACCACCUCCGAUGCCUCAACGGCUUCAGGUACCAGCGGCGGUGCCACAAGCUGACGCUGGCGCUGGCGGCGGACCGGCUGCGGAUGCUCAAGUCGGCGGGGGAGGUGGUGGCGGCCGCCGACGUGGAGGUGCCCUACCAGGAGCCGCACGACACCUACCUCGCCAAGUUCAAGCGCAGCUGGGCCAUCCACUUCGCCUUCCUCAUCGCCACCUUCGCCUUCUCCGUCGCCGCCGCCGUCGCAGUCCUCUGCUUCUAG